rnacentral:ribozyme from 14 species
AAAAAAGAACAACAAUCGAUGUGGCAAAAUGUUAUAUAUAUUUACAUUCAUAUAUGAUACUAUUUCUUCUUCUUCUUCAUUUCUCAAAAUAAUCCUUGUCCGUUCCCAUUCAUACUUUGGGCAGCAUUAUUAUACAUCUGGACAC